GGUCUGCAUUGGACCAAAUGUUGAGGGUGUCAUGCUAGUAACAAAGCUCUUGUGAGUCACUGGACAGUUCAGGUCAGCACUACUUGCAGUUGCACCCAUUUGAGCUGCUUUUUGCAGCAAUGCAGUGGCAGACAUUGAAGCUGAGCCAGCAGAUAGAUGCCCAAUUCCUUCAAAGAUUGUUGAAGAAUUUGCACUUAACUGAAGGGAUGAGGAACAAUUUGACAUGCUUCUUGCACCACCAAAAAGGCUUGUAGUGCUGCUUGAAAAUAUGGUUCCUGAGGGUUUUGGUGGCAUUGGCAUGAGUUCAUGGGGUAGGGGCAAUGGGAUUUUGGCGUCUAUAUUGUUAAAGUUGGAUAUUAAGGUAGACUGGUCUUGAUUGUUGUUAAUAGGCAUAGAUAUGAGGUUGGGGACUUGGCCAUGCAAGUUUCGUUCCAUAUUGGGCGCUAAUCCUUGGUUUGCUUUGUUAUUUUCUUCUGUUAGGGCAUCACAGAAAGCUCUGUGAGUGAUGAAGCUAUUCCCUCCUGGAGAAGAUGGUGCCACAGUCACAUUUGUACUCCUUAGUGCCACAGGUCUUUGUAUGAGCUUUCCAAUCUGAUUGCACUGCAUAUUUCUUAGAGCAUUUAUCACAUUUCCAUUUCUUUUCUCCGUGUUUUC
rnacentral:misc_RNA from 1 species